rnacentral:rRNA from 1 species
UACGGAGGGUGCAAGCGUCAUCCGGAUUCACUGGGUUUAAAGGGUGCGUAGGCGGACACUUAAGUCCGUGGUGAAAUCUCUGGGCUUAACCCAGAAACUGCCAUGGAUACUAUUUGUCUUGAAUGUUGUGGAGGUUAGCGGAAUAUGUCAUGUAGCGGUGAAAUGCAUAGAUAUGACAUAGAACACCAAUUGCGAAGGCAGCUGGCUACACAAAUAUUGACGCUGAGGCACGAAAGCGUGGGGAUCAAACAGG